UACAGAGGGUGCGAGCGUUAAUCAGAAUUACUGGGCGUAAAGCGCACGUAGUCGGCUUUGCAAGUCGGUUGUGAAAUCCCCGGGCUCAACCUGGGAACUGCAUCCGAGACUGCAUUGCUAGAGUAUGGGAGAGGGAAGCGGAAUUUCUGGUGUAGCAGUGAAAUGCGUAGAUAUCAGAAGGAACAUCAGUGGCGAAGGCGGCUUCCUGGACCAAUACUGACGAUCAGGUGCGAAAGCGUGGGGAGCAAACAGG
rnacentral:rRNA from 1 species